GGACGAGGCCGUAUUCAUCGUCCAGAAGAAACUGUGGCUGACGAGUGAGAGUGUCAGGGAUUCAGAAUAAGACCAAAAGAGCUGUCUUCUUCACAAUUCCCUGUUGCUGUUAAAAAUUUUCCGGUGCUCAUCGCGGCCCAGAGGGAUGAGAUCAGCAAGAAAGUCCCGAGCAGCGAUGCCAGUAAAAAACGGUUCCUUCUGUUAAUUAGCGAG
rnacentral:misc_RNA from 1 species